rnacentral:sRNA from 1 species
GUUUUUCGGACUGGAUAGGACUAGGUGGGCGCUUAUAUCAUGGGUUGGGAUGUGUUUAAAAGAAAGAAAAGGGUAAAUUCAUUGUUGAUAAGGAAAGGAAAAGAAUUCUAGGGGAAGUAAGUUAAAGAAGUUCGAAAAAGGUCUAGUAAAGGUUUUGGGAAUGUUAAAGAAAAGAAUGAGGUUCUUGUUAGCUAAAGAAGAAGGGUUAAAAGCCUUUGGGUUUAAAGAUUUAAAACAAGAACUUUAGUUGUUAAAGAAACCCAAAUCCGCUAGAUGUAUCAAACUGUUGAGAAAGCUUCUCCCAGAGUUAAGAGAAAAGAAAAGAAUGAUAUGAAAAAUGGUUUAAAAGAUUCAUGAAUGCAAAAGGUAGAGUUAAGUUCUUAUUUUGGGACUGGAGAUUGGAUUACCAUUAGAGCUUCAUUGUUAUAUUCUGGGUAGAUGGGAUCUUAUCUCUGUAUGUAUAACUUGGGACUUACCUUUAGCAUUCUACUAAAGCUCAAUCAUUCUUGAGAGAUCUCCUGUUACGUAAGCUUAUUUUGUAAGGGACAAUCUUUGUCUCUUGACCUUCACCUUAGCCAAAUGAGUUCAUUGAUGAUGCAUUGCUUGAUUCACGUUCCAGAACUAAUGAAUGUUAAGGAAUUGGUAGAUUUGAAAGCAUGUGUAGGUCGAGUAUAAGAGACGGAUUGAUUCAUAACAAGACAUGGCUAACGUUUUUGAGUAGAAUUCGAUCAUAUCGCAUCUUAGAACUGCCAACUUGGACAUUGAUUUUAUCUGCUUUAUCAGUGCUUUGGUUCUGAGUCACCACCUUCAAACCUCUCCUUCAGCUAUGUCUUCUUAUUUGCUUGAGGGCAAGCAAAGACUAAGUUUGGAGGAGUUGAUAUGUCUAUAAUUUGCAUGUUUUCAAUGUUCAUUCAUCAUCGUUUUGAGUGUAGUUUCAUAUUAUUCAUCACUGUUUUAUAUCAUUUCUUAUCAUUCUUGCAUACUUUGCAUGAUUAGGAUAGCUUUGCAUACAUAUUGCAUUUCUGAGUUGUUUUCAGGUGAUUGGGAGCUGUUGGCAAGCAAACUGGAAGAAGCGAGCCGAAAAUAGAGGACAUAUUACAUCCAGCACAAUACUCGACCCCCUGGUCUAGUGACAUAGGAGCCAUUCUUCCCAUCUACUCGACCCUGGUCGAGUAACAGCAGCUCAGCAACUCGAUGACUCCACUCGACCCUCUGGUCGAGUAUCACUACGCCACGCCACCUGACCACCACUCGGUCAUUCACUCUACCACGUUAUCCUUCACCAAUCAUCACCAUCACUCGAUCAAGCAUUCGAUCACAUCUUCAGAGUUGACUCAAAUCCGCACUUAACCAGACAAGCUGAGAACAAAGAAGAAAAUAGGAGAAGAAGAAGUGUUUGGAAACAGCCUGGAGCUCCAUCGGAUCACGAAGCCCAUCUCGUCCCAUUAUCACUCUAUGGGCCGGGCGAUUAGGUUACUGAACCGUCUACUAUCAUUUUAUUUCAUUUUGUAUAAAUAGGUGUCUGAGGGUUUUGUCCUGGGACAUCUAGUCGACAUUGAGUUUUUGCUUCAGUUUUAUUUUAUGUUUUACUCUAGCUGCGCCGCUUUUGCUUUUGCAACCUGUAAUUCCAGAUUUUUCCAAGUUAUUUAGAUUCCGCAUUUGAUUUCAUCUGCCAUCUUGUUUCUGUACUCUUUAUCUCUUUACUUAUGCAAUAUUAUCAUUUAUCUGCGUUUAUGUCUUUGAGCAUGUUGUCUGAGUAGUGACAUAGAGUUCUUAAGGAUGGGAUAGAAUGGUUGUGGAAUCCUUAGUCUGUAGAAUGGUUAAGUUUUAGAAUUGAUUGAAUCCCUUCAGGACUAGUUGUGUUUACUGCUUAUUUCUUUCUGAUCAACUUGAAUUCGAUCUAAAGCAUUCCUGCACCCAGAAGGUGUUUGAUGGAAUGCUUGAUCCACUAGUUCCUGAGAUAUUCGUCUAUAUCCCAAGGGAUUGGCCGUUUAGAGCGUUUAUUGACUUUAUCAGUCUGUUCUUAUUGCCUGCAUAGUUAGAUUGCGUUAAUGGGAAUUAGUCUGGGCUACCUUUGCUUGAGGAUUUCUAUCACGGGAGUGAAUUGAUCUGUUGUUGAACCUGUUGUCUAGGGAUAGCUUGAUUGCGUUUGUUAACCAUUCAAAUAGGCUAGGAUACCACUCUAUUCGAACCCCAUCCUUAGGAAUUUCUCGUCUAUCUGAUUUCUCUGUUUUAUCGUUAUCGCUUAAUCGUUCUCAUUGCCUGUUUCUUAGUUUUUGCAAUUACUCGACCAACUUACUCGACCACACCCAGUGUAUGGCAACAGACUGUGCAGUCAAGUACAGUUGUCUCGUUUCCUGCCUGUUACUCGACCACAUCCUGCUUCUGGCAUCAGCCAGUUGUGGUCGAGUGAUAUUAGUAAUUCUGUUAUAAUUUCUGUUUUUUGUAUGUUCGCUUAGGACUGUUAGAAACCCCAAAACUGUUAUUGCUUGGCUUGACUUAAUGAUUUCUGAUCACAUCUCAUCUGUUUGCAUCACAUCCAUUU